UAUUACUAUUUCUGGAUUCGGAUUUAUUCAGACCUCCGAAAUUACGGGCAACUAAGCAUUAUAUAAGUGUUUGUGUGUUCCUAAGUACAUAACAGUUCCUUUAAGUGUACGUUAUUUCUUCGUACAAUUCAGAAUGGGAGCUAACGACAAUGUUAUGUUUUUAAGGAUAAUAACUUUAAUUGGUUUGAUUGCAUACAGAGAAUGUGCUUCAAAUUAUACUUUUUCUUCUGAUUUCCUGUUUGGUGUUGCAACAUCCGCCUAUCAAAUUGAAGGAGCUUGGAAUGAGUCAGG